GACGAACGCUUGCGGCGUGCUUAACACAUGCAAGUCGAACGGAAAGGCCCUGCUUUUGUGGGGUGCUCGAGUGGCGAACGGGUGAGUAACACGAGAGUAACCUGCCCUUGACUUUGGGAUAACUUCAGGAAACUGGGGCUAAUACCGGAUAGGAGCUCCUGCUGCAUGGUGGGGGUUGGAAAGUUUCGGCGGUUGGGGAUGGACUCGCGGCUUAUCAGCUUGUUGGUGGGGUAGUGGCUUACCAAGGCUUUGACGGGUAGCCGGCCUGAGAGGGUGACCGGCCACAUUGGGACUGAGAUACGGCCCAGACUCCUACGGGAGGCAGCAGUGGGGAAUAUUGCACAAUGGGCGGAAGCCUGAUGCAGCAACGCCGCGUGCGGGAUGACGGCCUUCGGGUUGUAAACCGCUUUCGCCUGUGACGAAGCGUGAGUGACGGUAAUGGGUAAAGAAGCACCGGCUAACUACGUGCCAGCAGCCGCGGUGAUACGUAGGGUGCGAGCGUUGUCCGGAUUUAUUGGGCGUAAAGGGCUCGUAGGUGGUUGAUCGCGUCGGAAGUGUAAUCUUGGGGCUUAACCCUGAGCGUGCUUUCGAUACGGGUUGACUUGAGGAAGGUAGGGGAGAAUGGAAUUCCUGGUGGAGCGGUGGAAUGCGCAGAUAUCAGGAGGAACACCAGUGGCGAAGGCGGUUCUCUGGGCCUUUCCUGACGCUGAGGAGCGAAAGCGUGGGGAGCGAACAGGCUUAGAUACCCUGGUAGUCCACGCUGUAAACGGUGGGUACUAGGUGUGGGGUCCAUUCCACGGGUUCCGUGCCGUAGCUAACGCUUUAAGUACCCCGCCUGGGGAGUACGGCCGCAAGGCUAAAACUCAAAGGAAUUGACGGGGCCCCGCACAAGCGGCGGAGCAUGCGGAUUAAUUCGAUGCAACGCGUAGAACCUUACCUGGGUUUGACAUGGAUCGGGAGUGCUCAGAGAUGGGUGUGCCUCUUUUGGGGUCGGUUCACAGGUGGUGCAUGGCUGUCGUCAGCUCGUGUCGUGAGAUGUUGGGUUAAGUCCCGCAACGAGCGCAACCCUUGUUCACUGUUGCCAGCACGUUAUGGUGGGGACUCAGUGGAGACCGCCAGGGUCAACUCGGAGGAAGGUGGGGAUGACGUCAAGUCAUCAUGCCCCUUGUGUCCAGGGCUUCACGCAUGCUACAAUGGCUGGUACAGAGAGUGGCGAGCCUGUGAGGGUGAGCGAAUCUCGGAAAGCCGGUCUCAGUUCGGAUUGGGGUCUGCAACUCGACCUCAUGAAGUCGGAGUCGCUAGUAAUCGCAGAUCAGCAACGCUGCGGUGAAUACGUUCCCGGG
rnacentral:rRNA from 1 species